rnacentral:lncRNA from 1 species
GCUUGGACACUCCAGAGCUGACAUUUGAACCCAAAGAAGAGCAAGUCAAAACCAGAACUGGGCAGAGAGCAGGGAAGUGAGCUGUGGCCUGAGAGGUGAGGAAACUGGCUCAGAGAGGUUAAGAAAUCAGCCAGGUUCACACAGCUCAAAAGUAUCAGAGAAGGGAUGUAAACCUCCGGAAGCCUGUGGAAGAAGACAAGACUCUUUGAGAGGAACAUGAGGCAAUGGACUCCCCAAGUUCCUUUUCAGAGGGGAAGGCAGAAGAACGCAGGGAGGAAGGGGAGGUGUGCAGGGCACGUGCCUAAGAAGACCACAACAUCCCAGGACCGUGGCAAAGUCAAGGAAGCUGUCUUCACUGCAACAGUCUUUGGGGGAUAUUGUAUGUGUUCAAAAGGAAUAUUCUGAGAAGCCGCCUGGGGGCAGGGGAUGGGAACCUUAAGGAGAGCAAUCAGGUCAGAAGUUAUGGCUCCCUGCCCAACAUCCAUCCACCCUAAAUGAUUAGUCAAAUUCGGUUGUGCUACUCCCAUUUGAUUUGCAGGCACCGGCUAAACUUGACCUGCUAAAGAAUGGCUGUGUGUUGGGGCGGUAGGUGAAAUGAGUCAAGAGGGCCAAAUGUAUGGUGCUGGAUGACAAGAUUUGUGGUGGUGAUCCCUUUUCAUGUGUAUAGAUGUUAAAGAAUGGCUGUGUGACCCCAUUUUGGCCAAUGACAUGUGAGUGCAAGGGUGUUCUUGCUUCUAAAAAGACACAAAGAGCUCUGGGAGUAAGCUAUGUCUGAAACCUGGAGCCGUGGCAGCCAUCUUGUGAUCAUGAAGUAGGUCACGUUAAGGAAAAGAUGCCCUGCUGAGUUUAGCGCACAUUGAAAAUAUCCCUGAAGCACUGAAUCAUGGACCCAAGAACCUGCCCUUUUUCUAGAAGUCUUGUUGUUUGAGGUAAUAAAUGUUUAAAACUUUGGGAGAGGGGCUUUUUC